CAGGGAGACAACAAAAUGUUUAAUAUUAUUAUUUUGUCACCUUAGGUCGAUCGGUAUCUCACGUUCUUAAUUUGUUAAGAAUUUCAUUUCCUAAGUUUUUCUAGGUCACACCCAUUAUUUUUCCUGGGCCAUUAGCUCAGGUGGUUAGAGCGCACCCCUGAUAAGGGUGAGGUCCCUGGUUCAAGUCCAGGAUGGCCCAUAUCUCUAUGUUGGGGGUAUAGCUCAGUUGGUAGAGCGCCUGCUUUGCAAGCAGGAUGUCAGCGGUUCGAGUCCGCUUACCUCCACUGAUUACCACCUCUUGCAUAACCGAUAGAAGGGAAAUGUUUUGAGUUGUGAUCAUUAUUCUGAACGAAUCUAGCUUCCUAAUAAAAUCAUUAAGAUGCUGGACUCAUUGAAUUAACUUCAUUGUUUUCAGAGAACCUUGACAACUGCAUAGAUUAUUUUUAAAGACAAUAAGCAUCUUUAAUGAUGCAGAUUUAUUAUUUGUGCGAAUGCAUUAAUAACAAUUCUAUUAAGCUGAUGCUUCAAUUUUAGAAGUUAUU
rnacentral:tRNA from 1 species